rnacentral:rRNA from 1 species
UACGUAGGUGGCGAGCGUUGUCCGGAUUUACUGGGCGUAAAGAGCGUGCAGGCGGUCGUACAAGUCGCGUGUGAAAGCCCCCGGCUCAACUGGGGAGGGUCACGCGAUACUGUUCGACUCGAAGGCAGGAGAGGGAAGUGGAAUUCCCGGUGUAGUGGUGAAAUGCGUAGAUAUCGGGAGGAGCACCAGUGGCGAAGGCGACUUCCUGGCCUGUUCUUGACGCUGAGGCGCGAAAGCUAGGGUAGCAAACGGG